rnacentral:lncRNA from 1 species
CUCAACAAGCUGCAAUAGCACUACUCCAGAAUCAGAAUCGUGCACUGUAACACCCUUUUUUUUUUAUUUUAUAAUAUUUGCAUUCUUGAUUGAGUAUUUUUAUAACGAGGAAAUAUUUACUUUACACUUCUUAAGUGUGAAAAUUUCAAUAUAUGAAUUUUUUUACUUUAUAUUGUAUUUAAUAUUGACAAAUAAGUUCCAUGGU